CUUGGUACUUUGAGCGAGUUGGCAACACCUCUUCCCAUUUCGAACAGAGCAGUUAAACAACUCAGCGCUGAUGGUAGUUGGAGCUUAAGUUCCAGCGAGAGUAGGCCAGUGCCAAGA
rnacentral:rRNA from 1 species